UCCAUGGUGAACGCUUUCAUGGUGGGCUGC
rnacentral:piRNA from 1 species